rnacentral:rRNA from 1 species
AGAGUUUGAUCAUGGCUCAGAUUGAACGCUGGCGGCACGCCUAAUACAUGCAAGUCGAGCGGGGUAGCAAUACCUAGCGGCGGACGGGUGAGUAAUACAUAGGAAUCUGCCUUGUAGUGGGGAACAACAGUUCGAAAGGACUGCUAAUACCGCAUAUUCUCUGAGGAGGAAAGGGGGCGCAAGCUCUCGCUACAAGAUGAGCCUAUGUCAGAUUAGCUAGUUGGUGAGGUAAAGGCUCACCAAGGCGACGAUCUGUAACUGGUCUGAGAGGACGACCAGUCACACUGGGACUGAGACACGGCCCAGACUCCUACGGGAGGCAGCAGUAGGGAAUAUUGGACAAUGGGGGAAACCCUGAUCCAGCGAUGCCGCGUGUGUGAAGAAGGCCUGCGGGUUGUAAAGCACUUUAAGUUGGGAAGAAAAGCUUGCGGUUAAUACCCGUAAGUGUUGACGUUACCAACAGAAUAAGCACCGGCUAACUCUGUGCCAGCAGCCGCGGUAAUACAGAGGGUGCAAGCGUUAAUCGGAAUUACUGGGCGUAAAGCGUGCGUAGGUGGUUGGCUAAGUCUGAUGUGAAAUCCCCGAGCUUAACUUGGGAACUGCAUUAGAUACUGGUUGGGCUAGAGUAGG